rnacentral:rRNA from 1 species
UACAGAGGUCUCAAGCGUUGUUCGGAUUCAUUGGGCGUAAAGGGUGCGUAGGUGGCGGGGUUAGUCAGGUGUGAAAUCUCGGGGCUCAACCCCGAAACUGCACUUGAUACUGCCUUGCUAGAGUACUGGAGAGGAGAUGGGAAUUUACGGUGUAGCAGUGAAAUGCGUAGAUAUCGUAAGGAAGACCAGUGGCGAAGGCGAAUCUCUGGACAGUUACUGACACUGAGGCACGAAGGCCAGGGGAGCAAACGGG